GGUUGGUGCAAAAGUAACUGCGGUUUUUGCCAUUACUUUCAAUGACAAAAAACACAAUUACUUUUGUACCAA
rnacentral:miRNA from 1 species